UCAGAUUUGAUCACGACUGCCUGAGGUUU
rnacentral:piRNA from 1 species